UUUUUUUUUUUUUUUUUUUUUUUUUUUUUUUUUUUUUUUUUUUUAAUCA
rnacentral:ribozyme from 1 species